UGCAGUCGAGCGGUAAGGCCCUUCGGGGUACACGAGCGGCGAACGGGUGAGUAACACGUGGGUGAUCUGCCUCGUACUUCGGGAUAAGCCUGGGAAACUGGGUCUAAUACCGGAUAUGACCAUGGGAUGCAUGUCUUGUGGUGGAAAGAUUUAUCGGUGCGAGAUGGGCCCGCGGCCUAUCAGCUUGUUGGUGGGGUAAUGGCCUACCAAGGCGACGACGGGUAGCCGACCUGAGAGGGUGACCGGCCACACUGGGACUGAGACACGGCCCAGACUCCUACGGGAGGCAGCAGUGGGGAAUAUUGCACAAUGGGCGGAAGCCUGAUGCAGCGACGCCGCGUGAGGGAUGACGGCCUUCGGGUUGUAAACCUCUUUCGACAGGGACGAAGCGUGAGUGACGGUACCUGUAGAAGAAGCACCGGCCAACUACGUGCCAGCAGCCGCGGUAAUACGUAGGGUGCGAGCGUUGUCCGGAAUUACUGGGCGUAAAGAGCUUGUAGGCGGUCUGUCGCGUCUUCUGUGAAAACUCACAGCUCAACUGUGAGCUUGCAGGGGAUACGGGCAGACUAGAGUACUUCAGGGGAGACUGGAAUUCCUGGUGUAGCGGUGAAAUGCGCAGAUAUCAGGAGGAACACCGGUGGCGAAGGCGGGUCUCUGGGAAGUAACUGACGCUGAGAAGCGAAAGCGUGGGUAGCGAACAGGAUUAGAUACCCUGGUAGUCCACGCCGUAAACGGUGGGUACUAGGUGUGGGUUUCCUUCCACGGGAUCCGUGCCGUAGCUAACGCAUUAAGUACCCCGCCUGGGGAGUACGGCCGCAAGGCUAAAACUCAAAGGAAUUGAC
rnacentral:rRNA from 1 species